rnacentral:rRNA from 1 species
UACGUAGGUGGCAAGCGUUGUCCGGAUUUACUGGGCGUAAAGGGCGUGCAGGCGGCUUCGUUAAGUGCAGGGUGAAAGCUCCCGGCUCAACUGGGAGAGGUUCUUGCAUACUGGCGAGCUCGAGGGAGGCAGAGGAAAGUGGAAUUCCCGGUGUAGUGGUGAUAUGCGUAGAUAUCGGGAGGAACACCUGUGGCGAAGGCGGCUUUCUGGGCCUUACCUGACGCUGAGACGCGAAAGCGUGGGGAGCGAACCGG